rnacentral:rRNA from 1 species
UACGAAGGGGGCUAGCGUUGCUCGGAAUCACUGGGCGUAAAGGGUGCGUAGGCGGGUUUUUAAGUCAGGGGGGAAAUCCUGGAGCUCAACUCCAGAACUGCCUUUGAUACUGAAGAUCUUGAGUCCGGGAGAGGUGAGUGGAACUGCGAGUGUAGAGGUGAAAUUCGUAGAUAUUCGCAAGAACACCAGUGGCGAAGGCGGUCUUCUGGAGCACUCUUGACGCUGAGGCGCGAAAGCUGGGGGAGCGAACGGG